rnacentral:rRNA from 1 species
UACGAAGGGGGCUAGCGUUGUUCGGAAUUACUGGGCGUAAAGCGCACGUAGGCGGAUAUUUAAGUCAGGGGUGAAAUCCCGCAGCUCAACUGCGGAACUGCCUUUGAUACUGGGUAUCUUGAGUAUGGAAGAGGUGAGUGGAAUUCCGAGUGUAGAGGUGAAAUUCGUAGAUAUUCGCAAGAACACCAGUGGCGAAGGCGGCUCACUGGCCCGAUACUGACGCUGAGGUGCGAAAGCGUGGGGAGCAAACAGG